rnacentral:lncRNA from 1 species
GAGAAGGUCCUGGGCGCCUGUGGAGUGACCUCGUCCAGACCGCCGCAGACCCGAUCGGCAAGUUCUUGGAGGUGCAGGAAGGUUCUCCAAGGAGUAGGACCAGAAAGGGAUGAGAGCGCGAGCGCGGUUAAUGUCGAGGCUGCUAAGUGAUGCUCGUUAAUUUCGCAGCAGGGUGUGACUGGCCCAGCCUUGACUCUCAGUUUCCUCUCUCAGUAAAUGGGCAUAAUAAUACCGGUCCAGCCUACGCUGGAGAAUUGUGAGGUGAAAAUGAAAUAAGCUAGGUGUGAUCAGGUGACUAAGUGCUGGCCAACAGUAUAUACUUGGAAGUCUUUCUUCUCCUCUUCUCCCUUCUUGCUGGCUGGAAUGUGUAUGUGAUGAGUGAAGUUUGAACAUCCAUAUUGCACUACAAGAUGAAGACCGCAUGCUAAAAAUGGUGGAGCAGCAAGACGGAAGUCUCCUGUAUCCCUGAUGAUUUUGUGAAGCCACCACUCCACCCUUGCACUGCCUAGCUCUGGAUUUAUUUUAUGUGUUGUUCCUGAAAGCACUCCCCCAUAAAACACCUGCAUGUGAAUCUCCAUCUUGAAGCCUGUUUCCUGGGAACCUGCCUAUAGCAUUGUCCUUUACCUAUUUCUCUGCAGUGCUACCUUUGUUUUAUUUUUAUUUAUUUAUUUAUUUAUUUAUUUUGAGAUAGGGUCUCACUCUGUCACCCAGGCUGGAUGCAGUGGUGUGGUAUCAGCUCACUGCAACCUGCACCUCCCAAGUUCAAGUGAUUCUCGUGCCUUAGCCUUCCGAGUAGCUGAGGCUACAGGCUUGUGCCACCACUCCAGCUAAUUUUGUAUUUUUAGUAGAGACAGGGUUUCGCUGUGUUGGCCAGGCGGGUCUCAAACUCCUGGACUCAAGUGAUCCACCUGCCUCGGCCUCCCAAAGUGCUGGGCUUACAGGCGUGAGCUGCCAUGCCUGGACUGCCUUGUUUUAAAUCUUUGUUGUACACAGAUUAUAUGAAGAUCUGUUCCUGAACUUUAUAUUCUGUCCCUUUGAUCUAUUUGUCAAUACCACCCUGCCUUAAUUAUUGUAAUGUCAUGAUAAGUCUUGAUAUCUGGCAGAGAAAGUUAUCCAAUUUGCUUGAUCAGUUCCAAUUUGCAGAUCAGAUGUGAUCCAAUUUGCUUUGAUCAGACCAAAAGGACUAUUUUGGUCCUUUGCAUUUCCAUAUACAUUUUAGAAUCAGCUUGUUAGUUCCCAUAAAAAUCUUUCUGUAAGUUUGAUUGGAAUUUCAUUCAGUCUAAAGAUAGAUUUUUGGAGAAUUUACCUCCUGUUAACUUCCAAUUUAUAAAAAUGAUAUGUCCCUCCAUUCCUUUAGGUCUUUAAUUUCUGUCAUUACAGUUUUACAGUUCUGUAGUUUAUAGAGGUCUUGCACAUCUUGUUAGAUUUAUUCCUAGGUAUUUGACAUUUAGAUGCUGUUUUAAAUUGAUUUUUUUUUUUUUUGAGAUGGAGUCUUGCUGUGUUGCUCAGGCUGGAGUGCAGUGGUGUGAUCUCGGCUCACUGCAACCUCCACCUCCUGGGUUCAAGCGAUUUUUCUGCCUCAGCCUCUGAGGUAGCUGGGAUUACAGGUACGUUCCACCAUGCCCAGCUAAUUUUUGUAUUUUUAGUAGAGAUGGGGGUUUCACCAUAUUGGCCAGGCUGGUCUCGAACUCCUGACCUCAAGUGAGGAGGCGGUCUUGCCUCGGCCUCCCAAAGUGCUGGGAUUACAGGUGUGAGCCACCAUGCCUGGCCAUGGAAUUAUUUUUAAUUUUUUUUAUUUUGAGAAGGAGUCUUGCUCUGUUGCUCAGGCUGGAGUGCAGUGGGGUGAUCUUGGCUCACUGCAACCUUCGCCUCCUGAGUUCAAGUGAUUCUGUCUCAGCCUCCUUUGUAGCUGGGAUUAUAGACAUGCGCCACCAUGCCCAGCUAAUUUUUGUAGUUAUAGUAGAGAUGGGGUUUCACCAUGUUGGCCAGGCUGGUCUCGAACCCCUGACCUUGGGUGAUCUGCCCACCUCGGCCUCCCAAAGUGCUGGGAUUACAGGCAUCAGCCACCGCACCCGGCCAGAAAUUAUUUUUAAAAUGUUAUUGUCUAAUCGUUUAUCACUGUUUUAUUGAAAUGCAAUAGAUUUUUGGCUGGGGAGGUGGCUCAUGCCUGUAAUCUCAGCACUUUGGGAGGCCGAGGUGGGUGGAUCACCUGAAGUCAGGAGUUCGAGACCAGCCUGGUGAACAUGGCAAAACUCCAUUUCUACUAAAAAUACAAAAAUUAGCUGAGCAUGGUAGCACGCACCUGUAGUCCCAGCUACUUGGGAGGCUGAGGCGGGAGAAUCGCUUGAACUUGGGAGGCAGUGAUUGCAGUAAGCCAAGAUCACGCCAUUGCAUUCCAGCCUGGGCAACAGAGUGAGACUCCAUCACAAGAAAAAAAAAAAAAAAAGAAGAAGACGAAAUGCAAUAGACUUUAUGCAUUGAGUCUAUAUCCAGCAAUCUUGCUAAAUUCACUUAUUCAUUCCUCACCCUCUGGUCGCCAGUCUAUUAACAAGCAUCAUCAUAUUGAGGUAGAUCUCUGGAAGCAGAUUCUGGAAAUCUUGCUGAACAAGGAGAGCAGGUAGAAAUGAAAUGCUGAGAAUAUGGGAGAAUAUGUUUACAAUGGAACAAACUUUCCGUGGGUAUACUGGGAGGAACAGGAAAUGGAGGGAAAACAGAGCGAGGAGUAUGUUUCUUAACUUUAAGUCAAUGCAUAGAUGAGGGACUAUCAAGAAUAGACUUCAGCUGGGCACAGUGGUACACACCUGUAGUUCCAGCUACUCAAGGAGGCUGAGGCAGAGGAUUGUUUAAGCCAGGCUCUAGUGCACUGUGAUUGCACCUGUGAACAGCCACGGCACUCCAGCUGGGGCAACCUAGCAAGACUCUGUCUCAUUAAAAAAAAAAAAAAAAAAAAGAAUAGGGAUUUCAUUUAUGCCAUUUUUGGAAAGAGAAUUGAGACUAACCAAAGGACACAUCUUAAUUAUGUUGAGUGGGUCUGCAGGUGAAAGGAUGAGGGAUAUCAGGAAGGGCUGCAGAAUAGAUGAUUUUACAGCGAGUUUGUAGAGUGGAACCCACAAAUCCAUGGAACAUGUUGAUAGUGCAGUUUUUCUCAGUGUGGUCCAUAACAAGCAUCAGCAGCACCUGGGAACUUGUUAGAAAUGCAGAUUCUAGGGCCCAUCCCAGAUCCACAGAAUCAGAGUGGGGCCCAGACACCUGUAUUUAGGCACACCCUUCAGGGGAUUCUGAUGCAUGCCAAAUUUUGAGAACUGUCCAUUUAGGAGUGAAUGCCUCAAACUAGUCCUUCAGGUGCUAUAACUUGCCACUAAUAGCCCCAUGAAGAGUCCCAAAUAGGGUAGUUAGUAUUGCUUUUAAACCUACUUUAUUCUUGUUUAUAUUUUGCUUUGCCGUUGUGUCUUAGUUUUAUGCACUUUGCUUCCAUAGAUUAUAAUAUUCUCAGUAUAGAAUCCAUGUCUCAUACUUGCAGUCCUCUGGCUCUAUAAGAACACUUCAUGUGAUUGUGUAAGGAUCUCUCGAUCAUGCUGUGCAUACCCCACUAAGUCCUUUAUCCUAUUAUUCACAUGACAGGAUAUUUUAAAAUGUUUUCUCCGUGCAUUUCUAUGUAACACAAUGCCCAUCCCCAUUCAGGCAGCUAGAUCAUGGGUCCAAGGAUGUUACCAAAGGAAAAACAAAAAAAGGCUUUGACUUCCAAAAAUCUAAAUCUAAACCUUCAUGCUCUGAGUUGUAGGGAGGGGAGUCAGGAGGGAGAGCCCUUAGGUCCAAUGAGUCCCUAUGAAGAGAUGUUACUUUCUGUUGGGAGCAGGCCCCCCCCAAAAUCUGGCCAUAAACUGGCCCCCAAACUGGCCAUAAACAAAAUCUCUGCAGCACUGUAACAUGUUCAUAAUGGCCCUGACGCCCAAGCUGGAAGGUUGUGGGUUUAUGAGAAUGAGGGCAAGGAACACCUGGCCCGCCUCGGGUGGAAAACCGCUUAAAGGCAUUCUUAAGUCACAAACAAUAGCAUGAGCGAUCUGUGCCUUAAGAACAUGCUCCUGCUGCAGUUAACUAGCUCAACUUAUUUCUUUAAUUCGGCCCAUCCCUUCGUUUCCCAUAAGGGAUACUUUUAGUUAAUUUAAUAUCUAUAGAAACAAUGCUAAUGACUGGUUUGCUGUUAAUAAAUACAUGGGUAAAUCUCUGUUCAGGGGUCUCAGCUCUGAAGGCUGUGAGACCCCUGAUUUCCCACUUCACACCUCUAUAUUUCUGUGUGUGUCUUUAAUUCCUCUAGCGCUGCUGGGUUAGGGUCUCCCCGACCGAGCUGGUCUCGGCAACUUUCCUCUGCACCUGUGGUUUAAGAUAAAGAGAAAUCAUGGAGUCCUGAGACUUAGGUGUCUGGGAAUCUAAAAGGAGGGGGUGAUCGGGAGCGGGGCUCACAACUGUAAUCCCAGCACUUUCGGAGGCUGAGGUGGGAGGAUCACUUGAGUCCAGGAGUUCAGGACCAGCCUGGGCAACAUAGUGAAACCCCAUCUCUACAAAAAAAUUUUAAAAAUUAACCAAGUAUGGUGGCACACACCUUAGUCCCAGCUACAUGGGAGGCUGGGGUGGAAGGGUCACUUGAGCCCAGGAGUUUGAGGCUGCAGUCAGCUAAGAUGAUGCCACUGCACUCCAACCCUGGGUGACAGAGUGAGACUCUAUCUCUAAAAAUAAAUAGGUAAAUAAAUAAAUAAAAAUAAAGAAGAGGGGCCUCGUAUUUGACUUCCCAAGUAGAACCCUUGGAACUCAGCAAGAUCCCUGAGAAGAAAUGGCUGUGAAAUGUGCCUAUUAAGCAAGACCUUUUAUAAAUUUCAUAGAGUUAGUUUCCCAUGAUCUUGUUUGAUGUUAGAGCAACCGAUUCAGUGCUCUGUGGGUAAAUGUAGAGAAGAAAUCUAAGCUCCAAAGAUUUCUCUGUAUGCCAACAUAGCAUGGAAAUAGCAGAAUCAAAUAGCAAGGGAGACUUGAAGUAGCCUCAACAAUAAGAAUGAAUGAUGGUUUAAUAGCAGUCUACAAAGACUUACAACAAAGGACCAAAUGGGAUAUUUGCCAUUUUGUCAAAUGCCCAUAGAAGGGGUCACCUAUGGAAGACUAGAUGCUCAGUCCCCUCCAACCUUCUAGACAUUACAGGAAUUUAAGACUACCCAGGACAGGUGUGGUGGCUCACGCCUGUAAUCCCAGCACUUUGGGAGGCCGAGGCGGGUGGAUCACCUGAGGUCAGGAGUUCGAGACCAGCCUGGCCAACAUGGUGAAACCCCUUCUCUACUAAAAAUACAAAAAUUAGCUGGGCAUGGUGACGCGCCCCUGUAAUCCCAGCUACUGGGAGGCUGAGGUGGGAGAAUUGCUUGAACCCAGGAGGUGGAAGCUGCAGUGAGCCGAGAUCGCACCACUGCACUCCAGCAGCCUGGGCAAUAGAGCAAGACCCUGUCUCAAAAAAAAAAAAAAAAAAAAAGAAAAGAAAAGAAAAGCAGCAGGAAAAAUCCUGAAUUUCUUGAGGUUCAAUUUCUAACCUCUCAGAUAAUGGGGGGUGGGGGCUUUAAAAUUAGAAUAAAAUAGAGAAAAAUUCCACUUGUUACAUUCCUGUGUUUAUGGAUUAUAUACAUAAAACACUUUUUUUAAUAACAAGAGUUUUACUAUAUUUAAAGAGUGGGAGAAAAAAAUCAUAUUUUGGAGAUAAAUGUACUUCUCUGCUGACACUAGUGACUUUAAAAAGGAGUCUGUACCACAGUGCCUCUCAAAACUUAUUGUGCACACAGAUCACCUGGGGAUUCUUUGAAAAUACAGAUUCUGAUUCAGAGGUCUGAGAUGAAGCUUGAAAUUCUUAAUUUUUCACCAGCAACCAGGUGAUGCUGAUGCUGCCGGUACAGGGGCCACCCUUGGAGUAGUGAGGCUGUUCAAAAUACUGAUGACUCUACUGUGCUGGUUUUCAACGUGCACUGGCUAUAUUUUCUUAAAUAAACACAGGGCAGUACUUGUGCCAAAUUAUGUCAUAGGUUUAUGGUACAAUUUUAGACUACAGUUUUAAAAUGCAAAAUGAAUAUUAGCAACAAAGAAAGUUCCUUCAGAAUCAGCUAAGAGAAGGCAGUGUAGAUAAAAAUAUAAUGCUAACUUCCUUCAUGGGCUUUUACUUACCUGUGUCAACUUAACAACAACAACAAAAGAAACAAAAAACUGGGGCCAGGCACCUGGUGGCUCACGCCUAUAAUCCCAGCACUUUGGGAGGCCAAGGCGGGUGGAUCACGAGGUCAGGAGAUCGAGACCAUCCUGGCUAACAGAGUGAAACCCGUUUCUAUUAAAAAUAGAAAAAUUAGCCAGCCAGGCAUGGUGGCGGGCACCUGUAGUUCCAGCUACUUGGGAGGCUGAGACAGGGGAAUGGCGUGAACCCAGGAGGCGGAGCUUGCAGUGAGCCGAGGUUGCGCCACUGCACUCCAGCCUGGGCGACAGAGUGAGACUCCAUCUCAAAAAAAAAAAAAAAAAAAAAAAAGAACACAACUAAACAUUAUCCUUAAAUGAUUAAAGAAAUUUUGCAUGUCACUAAAUGGAACUUGAUCGUUUGGAAUUAUAAGUCAUUUUAACCAUACAGAGCUUUGAAUAACUUAAUAUAUAAAAGUAUCUUCUAAGGCCAGGUGCGCUGGCUCACACCUGUAAUCCCAGCACUUUGGGAGGCUGAGGUGGGCAGAUCACCUGAGGUCAGGAGUUCGAGACCAGCCUGGCCAACAUGGGGAAACCCCGUCUCUACUAAAAAUACAAAAAUUAACUGGGCGUGGUGGUGCACACCUGUAGUCCCUGCUACUUGGGAGGCCCAGGCAGGAGAGUCACUUGAACCCAGGAGUUGGAGGUUGCAGUGAGCAGAGAUCACACCACUGCACUCCAGCCUGGCAACAGAGCGAAACUCUGUCUCAAAAAAUAAAAAAAAAAAGUACCUUCUAAUCUUUAAUAUGUUACCAUCCUGAAUAGAAGUUUGGGUAGCAGAGAUGUUGUUAAAAUACCUCAUUUUACUCAAAAGGUAAAAAUGUAAAUGUUAGCAAAUUAAGCAAUAUCACUUAAUUAUUCCGUGUUAUAAAAGUGACACUUGUUCAUUUUAGAGAAUUUGGAAAAUACAGAAAAAUAUAAUGAAGGAAAUAAAAUCAUUGGUAAUCCCAGCAGCCAGCAAUAAUCAAAAUUUGGUAUAUUUCCUUCUAGUGAUUUCUAUGUGUACAUGUAUCUUUUCUAACAAAAGCAUAAUGUACAUAAACUUGCUUUUUCCACUGGAUAUCUCAUAACCAUUUCUCUACAUCUUUAAGCAUUCUUUAAAGACACAAUUUAGUGGUGUUAAAGUAGAAUAGAUAAUAUUCUAUCAUUGUGGGUACUAUAAAAGUUAAUGAUUUCCCAAGUUUUGGACAUUUGUUUAUUUUUUGCUAUUAUGAAAAGUGAUACAAGCAAUAAAUUUUCAAGGAUACAAUAUUUUCUAGGAUACAGAAUUCCCAGAAUAUCACAUUAUUUCCAGAUAAGAUGUGAACAUUUUAAGUCUUUAUAAAAUAACUCGUGAAACUUACUGUAAAAUUGAAGUGGUUUGGAUGAAGUCUAUAAAAGUGCCUAUUUCAUUACAACUAGAGCAAUCCUAGGUACUGGCAUUAAACAAUCUUCUGUAAUAUUUUCUUAUAUAUAUAUUUUUAGAGACAGAGUCUCCCUCUGUCACCCAGACGGUAGUGCAGUGGCAAUCAUAGCUCACUGCAGCCUUGACCUCCUGGGCUCAAGCAAUCCUCCCACCUCAGCUCCCAAGUAGCUCAGACCACAGAUGCACACCACCACACUCGGCUAAUUGUAUUAUGUUUUCUAGAGAUGGGGACCUCCCUAUGUUUCCCAGGCUGGUCUUGAACUUUUGAGCUCAAGCAACCCACCCGCCUUGGCCUCCCAAACUGUUGUGAUUACAGGCAUGAGCCACCGCACUCAGCCUUUGCUAAUAUUGAUAGGACUCAAAUCGAUGCAUUUACAGUAGAAAUUCUCUUAACCAAUUUCCACUUAACCUGUUAUUGGAUUAACCGCACUCACCAUUUCCUCAAUAAAGAACUGAUGCCCUGUCAGGCUGAGUAACUAUAACCAGUUGGCCACUCUGUGCAUUUCUACUUCCUCAGAUGAGUUACUUGUCAAGUCGAUUGUGUCUACUGCCAAUGUGCUCAAUCCAAUCAUCCUUGUAAUUUUAAAUAUAUAAUUUAAUUAAAUAUUAUAUAAGGCAAUAAAAUAUGAGUUCAUGUAAAAAGAAAAUGAGUUUAUGUAAAAUAUGAGUUUUUGUAAAACAAAGUUAUAUAAAAGAAGAACACUCAAAGGCAAAUACCUAAAAUAAAUUCCUGAAUUAGAGGCAGGAAAAAAGCAUCUGUAAAUAAGGAGGAAAGCAUAAAAUUAGGAAUUCUGUACUCAGAUUUCUUUAUAAAUGCUUUAAAUUCACACUCUAAGGAAACUUGAAUUGGAAAUCUUAGACCAGUGGUUCUCAACAGAGCAGUACUGACCCCUAGGGGUUACUUCGGAGACUUGUGGGACAUUUUUGGUUGGGUUUCACUAUUGGUAUUUAGUGGAUGGUGAGCAGGGAUGUUAGACAUCCUGUAAUGACCUGUAUAACUUUGGAAAGUCCCACUGAGUAUUCAUAUAGGUAAAAAGCCUACUUUUCCCCUCAAGGAGAUGGAGCAUAACUCCCCCCAGCCAGUGUGGGCUUUACAUAAUGAGUUUCUUCCUCAUCACUACCACUGCCAGGUGAUUAAGGUUAACAUAGUAAGAUCAGGGACAUGUCAUGUUGAUAGUAUGUCCCCUUGAUGUGACAAGAGCACUUUGUCUCUGUGGUAUUCCUCCAAAAAACAAUAAUCCCAGUUUUAUCAUGACAAAAAAAAUCAGAAGAUCCCAAUUGAAAAACGUUUUGCAAAAUACCUAGUGAGUACUCCUCAAAGCUGUCAAAGUCAUCAAAAACAAGGAAAGUCUGAAAAACUGUCACAGUCUGGAGUAGCCUAAGGAUACAUGGUGACUAAAUGGAAUGUGGUUUCCUGAAUGUCACCUGUAAGGAAACAGCAGGUAAAAAUGAAGGAAAUUGGAAUAAGUAUGGACUUCAGUUAAUAAUAUCAAUAUAGUUUCAUUAAUUGUGAUAAAUGUCCCACACUAAUGUAAGAUUUUUAAAAUAGGGGAAACUAGGUAUGUGGUGUAUGUGAAUUCUGCACUAUCUUUGCAACAUUUCUGCAAAUCUAAAACUAUUCUAAAUUUUAAAAAAGAAUUAAAGCCUGCUUUUUAUUAUCUGAACUUACAACUUGUAUCUUACUUAUUUGCAUUUAUAAUUUUAAUAUUUGCUAGGGAAAAAACUAUUCUAUAAACAAAAAAGUUACUCUUUUAUUCGAAACUUUAGCAAGAAUUGAUCACCAUUUUGGGAAAUAUUUCCAACAUAACAUCAUGUUUUUGAGUCAUCAGUAAAAUGCACCUGUUAUGAAUAUGUAUUUAAAUUUGUAAAAUUAUAGCUCUUCAUGAAUCAUAAAUUCAGUCUUUAUUUAAAAUAUCAAAGAGUGUCAACAAUACUCUGAUGUUUUCUUCUUCCAUAUGUAAGGGCAAGCACCUGACUACUCCAUUGUCUUCUAGUCUAUGUGGGCACUGACAUACUAAAAUGCACAAUUUUAUUGCAACCUGAUUAUAUUUCUCCUUCAUAUUACCAUAAAGGUAUUGACUGAUGUUUCUUCAUGUCGUGCCAAUAAGUAGGUUAUAUCAUGUGAAUGUCAUUUCAGGAUAGUGGAUGUGAUAGAUAUUAUGUUACAAUGUUAUUAUAAACAGGGUCAGCUAAGUCUAAUAUGAUUGAGAACCACAAUCUCAGACCUAAGCUCUGAGGGCAAGAAAUGUUUCAUUUCUUACAGUACUCUGCACCUAAUAUCUAAUUCUCAAUAUCUAAUUUGACUCUGGGUGCGGUUUCUGUUUACACCUACCCAGAAGCCCCUAUUUGCUCCUCCAUUCUGGCAGUCUCAAUUCUGAUUCACUGUCCACCCUCAUGCAGCCAGCUUGGGUAAAUACGAUCCAUCUAAGUCAGAGUGUUCCCACCCCCUUGGCCAGUGAUUAGACAGGUAAGUGACCCAGUACUGGUUGAGAUAUGACGGGAAUUUUGCUGAGGAGCUUAGGGAAAGGUUUUUCACUCCUUAUCAAAGACACAUGAGGAAUAAAAUGAUAUUUUCUUUCACUGGACAUUUCUAUUAGUCCGUUCUCAUGCUGCUAUAAGGACAUGCCCGAGACUGGGUAAUUUAUAAAGGAAUGAGGUUUAAUUGACUCACAGUUCUGCAAGGGUGGGAAGGUUUCAGGAAACUUACAAUAACGGCGGAAGGGGAAGCAAACACAUCAUUCUUCACAGGGUGGCAGGAAGGAGAAAGGGGAAGCCCCUUAUCAAACCAUCAGAUCCCGUGAGAACUCACUAUCACGAGAAUAGCAUGGGGGAAACCACACCCAUGAUUCAAUUACCUCCCACUGGGUCCUUCCAAUGACAUGUGGGGAUUAUGGGAACUUCAAUUCAAGGUGAGAUUUGGGUGGGAACACAGCCAAAUCCUAUCAACAUUGUUGGUCUACACAUGAUACCUAGAAUCAUGGUAGGCAUCUUUGAUCAUAUUAUUGGUCCAGUGAGAAAAAAUGCUAAAAAUGACAGGAUGGGAAAGAUGGAAAUAAUCUGGGGUUCUUGUUAUCUCUGAACCCUCUACCAACCCAUUUUAUUAUUAUUUUUGAGACGAAGUUUCGCUCUUGUUGCCCAGGCUGGAGUACAAUGGCGUGAUCUCAGCUCACCCCCCAGGUUCAAGUGAUUAUCCUGCCUCAGCCUCCCAAGCAGCUGGGAUUACAAGUGCCCACCACCAUGCCUGGCAAAUUUUGUAUUUUCAGUAGAGACAGGGUUUCAUCUUGCUGGUCAGGCUGGUCUCAAACUCCUGACAUCAAGUGAUCCACCUGCCUCAGCCUCCCAAAGUGCUGGGAUAACAGGCGUGAGCCACUGCGCCUGGUCAACCAAUCCAUUUUACAAUCUCUUAAGUGCUGGCUUUUUUUCUUAUUGCCAAUAGCAAGCAUCCUUACUAACACUCUUCAUAAUCAGUUGGAUGGCUGAGGAUUAUUUAUAUAUACUGUACUAUGGACUGAAUGUUUGUGUCCUGCGGCUCCCUUCCAUACAUAUGUUUAAGCCUAAUUUUCAGUGUGAUGGUAUUCGGAGGUGGGGCCUUUGGGAGGUAAUGUCAUGAGGGUAGAACCCUCAUGAAUGGAAUUAGUGCCCUUUUAAGAGAUGAUUUAUCUUGGAUGUGUGAGAACACAGUGAGAAGGUGCCUGUCUACAAGUCAGGAAGUGGGUCCUCACCAGACACUGGAUCUGCUGGUGCCUUGAUCUUGGGACUUCCCAGCCUCCAGAACUGUGAGACAUAAAUGUUUGUUGUUUAAGCCACCCGGUCUAUGGUAUUUUUAUUAAAAUUGCCUCAACUAAGACACACUCUAUGCAAUCAUGGUCAAAAUACUGUGUGGGAAAGCCUCAAGUGAUUCCCUUUCAGCCAUCUGCUCUUCAUUCAAACCACCUGUAUUAUAAUCAUUCUAGCCUUAGCUAUGUAGGGCUCAUAGGAGACUGACUUGUUUUACAUUGACCAUGAUCAUGGAAAAUAAGAAAACUUACUUCUUGUGACCUACUUUGUACUUUCGUACAACUUCUCAGGUAAGUGAAUUUGGAAGUGAAUUGUUCUUUUCCCUAACAAGGCGUAGUGUUACCAUAUACAGUUGUCCCUCGGUGUAUGUGGAGGAUUGGUUCCAGGACUGCCCAUGGAUACCAAAAUCUGUGCAUACUUAAGUCCCACAGUUGGCAUAUGAAAAGUCAGCCCCCUUUGUACUGUAUUUUCAACCCACAUUUGCUUGAAAAAAAUCCCUGUAUAAAUAAACCAGUGGAGUUCAAACCUAUGUUGUUCAAGGGCCAACUGUACAUUUAAAAAAAAUGCAUAUAGGAAUGAAUUUAAAGAAUGAGCAAGGGCUAUCUUUUGGCAAGUUUUACUCAGCAAGUGGAGAAGGCUUCUUUCCUUGGAAAUAAAGCUUAAAUUACUGAAUUUGUGAAUGUAUUAGCCCUCCCGUUUGUCAGUUCUAGCACUCAACAUGUGAAAUUGGUCUUCAUAAGUUCCUUACCUUUUGAUAUUCUUCUGUUUGCACUUUAUCUACCACAAUCCUUUAUUCCGUAUUCACUUUCUUCUUCCCACCUUUCCCACACUCCCUUAUCCAUAGACACUACCUGCUUUACGGGCUGUACAGAAUCACAAUUGUUCUCUCUUCAGAAUGAGCCUACAAGCCUUUUCAAAUCCUUUCAGUACUCACUAAGG